CCACUGCAUACAAUUUGGUAGCAGAUUUUGGUUUAACGACGAGCUUUUGCAAAUUUGUAACGAAUGUGAAACCAUUAUUUGCGAGCAUUUACCUUGCUCGCUGAAGAAAUUCGCUGCUGAUUCUAUACAACUGAGAACUUUCUAAAGUUCUGUUUGACGAUAUCUAGGUGAGAUGUUUUAUUCGGCAGUUAGUUUUGUGCUUAAAUUUUGUUAACAUGGUUCCAUUGUUUUAGAUUUUUGUACCGACCAUCC